UACGUAGGGGGCAAGCGUUGUCCGGAUUUAUUGGGCGUAAAGAGCGUGUAGGCGGCCUGAAAGGUCAGCUGUGAAAACUCGAGGCUCAACCUCGAGACGUCGGUUGAAACCAUCUGGCUAGAGUCCGGAAGAGGAGUGUGGAAUUCCCGGUGUAGCGGUGAAAUGCGCAGAUAUCGGGAGGAAUACCUGUGGCGAAAGCGGCUCACUGGACCACAACUGACGCUGAGGCGCGAAAGCUAGGGGAGCAAACAGG
rnacentral:rRNA from 1 species